rnacentral:sRNA from 1 species
GACUAGCCCUGAUUGCAGUGGCAUCCUUUUUUUGCUUUUAUAAGUGGCAAAAAAAGAUACAACGGAAAGCAGGAAUUAGC